rnacentral:rRNA from 1 species
UAGGGAAUUUUCCACAAUGGGGGCAACCCUGAUGGAGCAACGCCGCGCGCAGGAUGAAGGCCUUAGGGUUGUAAACUGCUUUUAUCUGUGACGAUAAUGACGGUAGCAGAUGAAUAAGGAUCGGCUAACUCCGUGCCAGCAGCCGCGGUCAUACGGAGGAUCCAAGCGUUAUCCGGAAUUACUGGGCGUAAAGAGUUGCGUAGGUGGCAUAGUAAGUCCCGAUUUAAAUACGCCGGCUCAACCGGCGGAUAUAUCGGGAAACUGCUGAGCUAGAGUAUGAGAGAGGUAGCUGGAAUUCCUAGUGUAGGAGUGAAAUCCGUAGAUAUUAGGAGGAACACCGAUGGCGUAGGCAGGCUACUGGCUCAUUACUGACACUAAGGCACGAAAGCGUGGGGAGCGAACAGG